rnacentral:rRNA from 1 species
UAAAGUAGUCGUGGGGAAAACUGCCUGAUGGAGGGGGAUAACUACUGGAAACGGUAGCUAAUACCGCAUAACGUCGCAAGACCAAAUGGGGGACCUUCGGGCCUCAUGCCAUCAGAUGUGCCCAGAUGGGAUUAGCUAGUAGGUGGGGUAAUGGCUCGCCUAGGCGACGAUCCCUAGCUGGUCUGAGAGGAUGACCAGCCACACUGGAACUGAGACACGGUCCAG